rnacentral:tRNA from 1 species
UCCCUGGUGGUCUAGUGGUUAGGAUUUGGCGCUCUCACCGCCGCGGCCUGGGUUCGAUUCCCGGUCAGAGAA